rnacentral:rRNA from 1 species
ACGGGAGGCAGCAGUGGGGAAUAUUGCACAAUGGGGGAAACCCUGAUGCAGCGACGCCGCGUGAGUGAAGAAGUAUUUCGGUAUGUAAAGCUCUAUCAGCAGGAAAGAAAAUGACGGUACCUGACUAAGAAGCCCCGGCUAACUACGUGCCAGCAGCCGCGGUAAUACGUAGGGGGCAAGCGUUAUCCGGAUUUACUGGGUGUAAAGGGAGCGUAGACGGUAAGGCAAGUCUGAAGUGAAAUGCCAGGGCUCAACCCUGGAACUGCUUUGGAAACUGUCCUACUAGAGUGCAGGAGAGGUAAGUGGAAUUCCUAGUGUAGCGGUGAAAUGCGUAAAUAUUAGGAGGAACACCAGUGGCGAAGGCGGCUUACUGGACUGUAACUGACGUUGAGGCUCGAAAGCGUGGGGAGCAAACAGGAUUAGAUACCCUGGUA